GACGAACCGGACAAACGUUAUUCGGAAUUACUGGGCUUAAAGGGUUUGUAGGCGGCCUUGUAAGUCAGGUGUGAAAUCCCUGGGCUCAACCCAGGAACUGCGUCCGAUACUGGCAGGCUUGAAUCCGGGAGAGGGAUGUGGAAUUCCAGGUGUAGCGGUGAAAUGCGUAGAUAUCUGGAGGAACACCGGUGGCGAAGGCGGCAUCCUGGACCGGUAUUGACGCUGAGGCGCGAAAGCCAGGGGAGCAAACGGG
rnacentral:rRNA from 1 species